UGGGGAAUAUUGGACAAUGGGCGCAAGCCUGAUCCAGCCAUGCCGCGUGAGUGAUGAAGGCCUUCGGGUCGUAAAGCUCUGUGGGGAGGGAAGAACGCCCAUCCGGUCAAUACCCGGGUGGAGUGACGGUACCUCCUUAGCAAGCACCGGCUAACUCCGUGCCAGCAGCCGCGGUAAUACGGGGGGUGCAAACGUUGCUCGGAAUUAUUGGGCGUAAAGCGCACGUAGGCGGUCUCCUAAGUCGGGUGUGAAAGCCCUGGGCUCAACCCAGGAAGUGCAUUCGAAACUGAGAGGCUUGAGUACGGAAGAGGGUCUCGGAAUUCCCGGUGUAGAGGUGAAAUUCGUAGAUAUCGGGAGGAACACCAGUGGCGAAGGCGGAGACCUGGGCCGAUACUGACGCUGAGGUGCGAAAGCGUGGGGAGCAAACAG
rnacentral:rRNA from 1 species